GUUAAGCGACUAAGCGUACACGGUGGAUGCCCUGGCAGUCAGAGGCGAUGAAGGACGUGCUAAUCUGCGAUAAGCGUCGGUAAGGUGAUAUGAACCGUUAUAACCGGCGAUUUCCGAAUGGGGAAACCCAGUGUGAUUCGUCACACUAUCAUUAACUGAAUCCAUAGGUUAAUGAGGCGAACCGGGGGAACUGAAACAUCUAAGUACCCCGAGGAAAAGAAAUCAACCGAGAUUCCCCCAGUAGCGGCGAGCGAACGGGGAGCAGCCCAGAGCCUGAAUCAGUGUGUGUGUUAGUGGAAGCGUCUGGAAAGGCGCGCGAUACAGGGUGACAGCCCCGUACACAAAAAUGCACAUGCUGUGAGCUCGAUGAGUAGGGCGGGACACGUGGUAUCCUGUCUGAAUAUGGGGGGACCAUCCUCCAAGGCUAAAUACUCCUGACUGACCGAUAGUGAACCAGUACCGUGAGGGAAAGGCGAAAAGAACCCCGGCGAGGGGAGUGAAAAAGAACCUGAAACCGUGUACGUACAAGCAGUGGGAGCACGCUUAGGCGUGUGACUGCGUACCUUUUGUAUAAUGGGUCAGCGACUUAUAUUCUGUAGCAAGGUUAACCGAAUAGGGGAGCCGAAGGGAAACCGAGUCUUAACUGGGCGUUAAGUUGCAGGGUAUAGACCCGAAACCCGGUGAUCUAGCCAUGGGCAGGUUGAAGGUUGGGUAACACUAACUGGAGGACCGAACCGACUAAUGUUGAAAAAUUAGCGGAUGACUUGUGGCUGGGGGUGAAAGGCCAAUCAAACCGGGAGAUAGCUGGUUCUCCCCGAAAGCUAUUUAGGUAGCGCCUCGUGAAUUCAUCUCCGGGGGUAGAGCACUGUUUCGGCAAGGGGGUCAUCCCGACUUACCAACCCGAUGCAAACUGCGAAUACCGGAGAAUGUUAUCACGGGAGACACACGGCGGGUGCUAACGUCCGUCGUGAAGAGGGAAACAACCCAGACCGCCAGCUAAGGUCCCAAAGUCAUGGUUAAGUGGGAAACGAUGUGGGAAGGCCCAGACAGCCAGGAUGUUGGCUUAGAAGCAGCCAUCAUUUAAAGAAAGCGUAAUAGCUCACUGGUCGAGUCGGCCUGCGCGGAAGAUGUAACGGGGCUAAACCAUGCACCGAAGCUGCGGCAGCGACGCUGAUGCGUUGUUGGGUAGGGGAGCGUUCUGUAAGCCUGUGAAGGUGUGCUGUGAGGCAUGCUGGAGGUAUCAGAAGUGCGAAUGCUGACAUAAGUAACGAUAAAGCGGGUGAAAAGCCCGCUCGCCGGAAGACCAAGGGUUCCUGUCCAACGUUAAUCGGGGCAGGGUGAGUCGACCCCUAAGGCGAGGCCGAAAGGCGUAGUCGAUGGGAAACAGGUUAAUAUUCCUGUACUUGGUGUUACUGCGAAGGGGGGACGGAGAAGGCUAUGUUGGCCGGGCGACGGUUGUCCCGGUUUAAGCGUGUAGGCUGGUUUUCCAGGCAAAUCCGGAAAAUCAAGGCUGAGGCGUGAUGACGAGGCACUACGGUGCUGAAGCAACAAAUGCCCUGCUUCCAGGAAAAGCCUCUAAGCAUCAGGUAACAUCAAAUCGUACCCCAAACCGACACAGGUGGUCAGGUAGAGAAUACCAAGGCGCUUGAGAGAACUCGGGUGAAGGAACUAGGCAAAAUGGUGCCGUAACUUCGGGAGAAGGCACGCUGAUAUGUAGGUGAAGCGACUUGCUCGUGGAGCUGAAAUCAGUCGAAGAUACCAGCUGGCUGCAACUGUUUAUUAAAAACACAGCACUGUGCAAACACGAAAGUGGACGUAUACGGUGUGACGCCUGCCCGGUGCCGGAAGGUUAAUUGAUGGGGUCAGCGCAAGCGAAGCUCUUGAUCGAAGCCCCGGUAAACGGCGGCCGUAACUAUAACGGUCCUAAGGUAGCGAAAUUCCUUGUCGGGUAAGUUCCGACCUGCACGAAUGGCGUAAUGAUGGCCAGGCUGUCUCCACCCGAGACUCAGUGAAAUUGAACUCGCUGUGAAGAUGCAGUGUACCCGCGGCAAGACGGAAAGACCCCGUGAACCUUUACUAUAGCUUGACACUGAACAUUGAGCCUUGAUGUGUAGGAUAGGUGGGAGGCUUUGAAGUGUGGACGCCAGUCUGCAUGGAGCCGACCUUGAAAUACCACCCUUUAAUGUUUGAUGUUCUAACGUUGACCCGUAAUCCGGGUUGCGGACAGUGUCUGGUGGGUAGUUUGACUGGGGCGGUCUCCUCCUAAAGAGUAACGGAGGAGCACGAAGGUUGGCUAAUCCUGGUCGGACAUCAGGAGGUUAGUGCAAUGGCAUAAGCCAGCUUGACUGCGAGCGUGACGGCGCGAGCAGGUGCGAAAGCAGGUCAUAGUGAUCCGGUGGUUCUGAAUGGAAGGGCCAUCGCUCAACGGAUAAAAGGUACUCCGGGGAUAACAGGCUGAUACCGCCCAAGAGUUCAUAUCGACGGCGGUGUUUGGCACCUCGAUGUCGGCUCAUCACAUCCUGGGGCUGAAGUAGGUCCCAAGGGUAUGGCUGUUCGCCAUUUAAAGUGGUACGCGAGCUGGGUUUAGAACGUCGUGAGACAGUUCGGUCCCUAUCUGCCGUGGGCGCUGGAGAACUGAGGGGGGCUGCUCCUAGUACGAGAGGACC
rnacentral:rRNA from 1 species